GUGGGGAAUCUUGCGCAAUGGGCGAAAGCCUGACGCAGCAACGCCGCGUGGGGGAUGAAGGCCUUCGGGUCGUAAACCCCUUUCAGUGGGAACGAUGAUGACGGUACCCACAGAAGAAGGUCCGGCCAACUACGUGCCAGCAGCCGCGGUAACACGUAGGGACCGAGCGUUGUCCGGAUUUAUUGGGCGUAAAGAGCUCGUAGGCGGUUCGGUAAGUCGGGUGUGAAAACUCCAGGCUCAACUUGGAGACGCCACCCGAUACUGCCAUGACUAGAGUCCAGUAGGGGAGUGCGGAAUUCCUGGUGUAGCGGUGAAAUGCGCAGAUAUCAGGAGGAACACCGGUGGCGAAGGCGGCACUCUGGGCUGGAACUGACGCUGAGGAGCGAAAGCGUGGGUAGCAAACAGGAUUAGAAACCCUGGUAGUCC
rnacentral:rRNA from 1 species